rnacentral:rRNA from 1 species
UACAGAGGUGGCAAGCGUUGUUCGGAAUUACUGGGCGUAAAGGGCGCGUAGGCGGCCUACUAAGUCAGACGUGAAAUCCCCCGGCUUAACCUGGGAACUGCGUCUGAUACUGGAAGGCUUGAGGAUGGGAGAGGGAUGUAGAAUUCCAGGUGUAGCGGUGAAAUGCGUAGAUAUCUGGAGGAACACCGGUGGCGAAGGCGGCAUCCUGGACCGGCAUUGACGCUGAGGCGCGAAAGCCAGGGGAGCAAACGGG